CUUACUUUGGUUUUCGUCAAUCUUAUUGAGAGGAUGUGGAUAAGGAAUACGUAACCUACAGCAUUGCCGUGAGAUGACAUUAACUCCAGCGCUGAGCUUAGGCCACUGCCUGGCCUGUUGAAGUGUUCACCCAGCCUUAGCUUGCAGGAAAUGCUGCCUUUGGAGCCAACAACUAUGGAUGUGUUGUCCAGAGGAAACCUGUGGAUCAAGCAAGGAUGCCUACAAAAAGACUAAUUUCCCAGUAAUCCAACUUAUUCCAAACACUCCACCCACAAGGCAGCAAGUGAGGGAAAAAAUAGAAUUCUGCUUGAAGAUGCUUUUCAGUCAACUCUCUCUAGCUCAUAAACCAGCGCUUCUCCAAGAGUGUUAUGAACCCUGCACCCUCCUUGUCAAUGCUGAUUUCUGCACCCAUCUCCCAGUUACCAUCUGGAAUAGAAUCCAGUAG
rnacentral:lncRNA from 1 species